CAUCAUUCAUGAUGCUCGUCAUAGUGCGAGGCUCGUGUACCCUCGUCAGAGAUGCGUUCGUGUGACAGGAUAGGCUACUUUCCGAUUGAUGCGUCAUAGUAGUUUUCAGCCGUAUCAUUUUUGGCGCGAUUCUGGAGAUUUAAUUCUGACAUCGGAGACUGAUUGAAGCGUCCAGUUAAGAACAAUGGACUGCACUUUAUUGGCAUCUAUUUGGCGUAGCUGGUAACUCAUGUUAGGUCACCUGUGCGAGCAGGCAGGUGGUCUCAGAGAAUACACGUAGACAGUUAGUCGGUUUGAGAAAAGCAAUUGACUCAAAACUACCACACACGCUUACAAAGAGGGACAGGAUGGCAAAAGAGACGCGAGUGCCCUCUCGAAAACAUAGCGCCUCCCACUGGAGACUCCAGAACAUUGCCCAGGAAUCUGUUGAAAGCUCUGACGAGGAGUUUUUUGAUGCCAGGGAUGUUAUGGAGGGGAAGACGGCCUUACUCCUGGAAAUGAGCCAGUGGAACUCCAAUGACCUGGUGGAGCAGAUUGAAACACUGGGACACCUGGAGCACUCCAGAGAGAGCCUGUACAGGCUGCGGCACCCUCGAUGCGCGCCACAGAGCAGUGUGGAUGGCUUGGAAGACAUGGAGAGGAAGUGCAGGACGCAAUUACUCAUCCUGGUGAUUCAUGGAGGUCAUAUCUUGGAUUCUGGAGGUGGCGACCCUGGAGGGAAGGCGGGUGAUGCUGCCACUCUGGCGUCCGUGUUGGAGCGUGUGGCUCGGGCGCACUUCCAAGCAGCAGCAGACAGCAUGCUGGUCAGACUGGUACCCUGCCCGCCUGUGUGUGCUGAUGCCUUCUCCCUGGUUUCAAAUUUGAAUCCAUACAGCUACGAUGAAACCUGUGUGUCCAGCAGUGUGGAUCAUUUGCCGCUGGCCGCUCUUCCCAUCCUUGCUAUCGCUGCUCCUCUUUACCAGAAUGCUGUAGCAGCAGUCAUUGCUCAGGCCAAUCAGGUUUACCGAAACUUUCUUCAGUCCCCAGAGGGUGUGGGCUUCACAGGACAGGUGUGCCUGGUUGCAGACUGUGUUGGUGGUGUCCUUUGUUUUGACGCCUUGUGUUUCAGUGGUGAUGAGCAACACAGAAGCCCUGAGGGUGGCAGCACGAACAACAGUACAGAGAGUCUAAGGGAGAAGCCAUGUGCGGUGAACUCCCUGAGCCCCACUCUCCGAGGCAGCAAGCGCCUGAGUAAGAGCAACAUUGAUGUGUCAACCCCGUGUGAUGUGCUGUCUGGAGUCCGCCAUCCACUCAUCCGUAAGCAAAGUGACUCGUGUGAUGCAGACGUGGCCAGUGGUCAGCGUGAGGUCUUUAUCAGCAGUUUGUCUCAGGAUGAUCAGUGUGGCUCCAGGCAGGCCCUCAAUCCAGGCUGCUUUGAGUUUGAAGUGUCAGACUGCUUUCUGCUGGGAUGCCCACUGGGUCUGGUGCUAGCCAUGAGAAGAACUGUGUUACCUGCCGUUGAUGUGGCUCAGCUCCGGCCAGCUUGUUCUCAGAUUUUUAAUAUGUUCUACCCUUCGGACCCCUCUGCCUCACGUCUGGAACCUUUGCUGCACCCAGUUCUCACCCACCUGCCCCCUUUUCCUGUUUCCCGUUACCAGCGGUACCCUCUGGGUGAUGGCCGCUCAACUCUCAUUGUGGACACCAUGCUCAGACACUUGUCAGACAGCAGUUUAUCUGUAGACGGACCCACAGAGCAGUGCUGUGGAGGAAGUGUGUCUCGCAGGGGCAGCGAUCGAGUUGUUCCACUCAGACUCGCCCACUGUGCCACUGACGCCGAAGGGUCUAAAACUGCCCCGAGCGAGCCUGUUAGCAUCUCACACAUAUGUAGUAGGUGGUGGGGGUCGAAGCGGUUAGAUUACGUGCUAUACUGUCCAGAUGUGCUCACCACCUUUCCCACUAUUGCACUGCCUCACCUGUUCCACACUUCAUACUGGGAGUCCACAGAUGCUGUGGCUUUUAUUCUUAGACAGGUAAUGCGGUGUGACUGUCUGAAGGCUGGGGAGGCUGAUUGUUCAGACGCUAUUCCCAUCUCUCCAUCCAGCCCCCGUGAGAAGUGGCUUCGCAGGCGGACGCAUGUCAAACUACGGAAUGUAACGGCAAAUCACAGAGUUCAUGAUGUCAUCGUGACAGAGGAUGGUCCGCAGAUGCUGGUGGGGCGAUUUAUGUAUGGCCCUCUUGACAUGGUGACCCUAACAGGAGAGAAGGUGGAUGUGUUUUUAAAGACCCAGCCUGCCUCUGGCCGUUGGGUGCUGUUUGACACUGUGGUGACCAGCAGCAGCGGACGCGUUUCCUACACCAUCCCUGAUAAUAAAAGACUUGGGGUGGGUGUUUACCCUAUCAAAAUGGUGGUCAAAGGUGAUCAGACGAGUGCAGAAGCAUUCCUCACAGUGUUGCCACGGGGAAUGGAGUGUGUAGUGUUUAGUAUUGAUGGCUCCUUUGCUGCCAGUGUCUCCCUUAUGGGCAGUGAUCCCAAAGUCCGCCCUGGAGCUGUGGAUGUGGUCAGACAUUGGCAGGAUCUUGGGUAUCUGAUCAUCUACAUUACUGGCCGUCCUGACAUGCAGAAGCAGAGGGUGGUUUCCUGGCUCUCUCAGCACAACUUCCCUCAGGGCAUGGUCUUCUUCUCGGAAGGACUCGUUCAUGACCCCUUACGUCAGAAAACCAUUUUUCUAAAGAGUCUUGUGAAAGAGUGUCACAUUAAGAUCAGUGCAGCAUAUGGCUCUAUGAAGGACAUGUCUGUGUACAGCACAUUGGGACUUGCACCUAAUCAGAUAUACAUUGUGGGCAGGCCAUCCAAGAAACAUCAGCACCAGUGCCAGUUUUUGAGUGAAGGCUACGCAGCUCACCUCUCCACUCUUGAAUUUGAGCACGGCUCACGCUCCAAAAAGAACCGCAUGGUGCUUCGUCAGGGAUCUUUUGGCCUUUCAUCCAAAACAGACUUCCUGUCUCCAUCCCCGGACUUCCUGUCCUGCAAGCGCACUCCACUGCUACGUCGAGCCAUGUCUGUUCAGCAGCCGUCUCCACCCUCAUCAUCUGUCUCCACCCCCAAACCUGAGCGUGCUCAGAGCCAGCCUGAAUCUCAUAAAGAUGGACCAGAGAUUCGUAUCCAGACCGAUGAUCAAGAGGAACAGGAGGAGGAAGAAGAAGGGAGAUUACAGGAUGUUGUACUAUAAAGGAACUCCAUGAGUUGUGUGGAAAAGGUGUGUUGAGGAACCACAUCCUAUCUAAUACACACAUACAGACAAAUUUAAUUAUCAAACACAUCAAGAUCUCAUCUCAAACCAGAACUGCUCAACUAUAGAUGGGCUCCAUGGUAGACAAGAACGGCUUUGUGAGUGAGCUGUGAGGAAAUUCUCUCCAAAACAACAAUCCCACCGUACUGAGACAAGCAACAUUAAAAUGUAUGCUGUUAGAAACAGCCCUAGAACAGAUGCGAAGAUUGGUCACUGAACACUUUAACAAACCCCAUGUGACUUACAGAAGACUGAAAGAAAGAGGAACAUGGAAGUGUCAUAAUUGAGACAAGGACAGAAGUAUGAUAGAGAGUAGCUAUAGAAAGUAGUGUCAGGGUCAUCUUUUAUUGAGUUUUCUGCUUUGCCGGGAGACUUGUUUUAUGUGUGGUGAAUAUUUUCUGCAGACUCCUGUAAUGGUCUUUGUGAAGGUAACCAUGCACAUGAGCACCUGAACCGCAUCUAUUUAUAGCAGUCCUGCAACCUGAGGCAUUGUGUUCUUUAUGACUCUUUGGUGACCCACACAUUUCUCAGAAGCCCCUCUGUUUUCUUGUGUUUUAAUCAGCCGUAAAGUAAAAGGAGCUUAGAAGAAAAAUGGAUGUCUCCAGGAGAAUUCCAAAUGCCAUGUUUUAUACAUAGUUUUUUGGACUCCUGCCUGCAUGUUUUGCUGAACCCAGAUUCUUUUUGUCAAAAUGUUGCUUUAUACUCAUGCAUUAUGUAAAGACUAUAGUUCUAAUGUUCAUCUAGGGUGCAGUAUGUUCUAAUAGAUCAUGUGCUGACAGAGUCUUUAAAACGUCCUGCUGUGGUUUGAUAUCUGUGACUUUUUCAGAGAGAAUCUGUUCUGUGAAUUUGGCUGUACUGCACAAAACUGUAUAUAAUUGUAUAAUUGUAUUUCAUAGACAGUGUUAUUGGAUGUUAUAAAACUGUAUUUAUCUGUUGAAAUGUGUUGACAACUUAUUUCAGAACGUAAAGCACUAAAGGAUUAGUUCACUUUCAAAUAAAGAUUUCCUGAUAAUUUAUUCUUAACAAAUGAAACCUUAUUGUAAAGUGUUACCAGAAUUAUUGAUCUAAAAACUGAAAAUUGAGAUUAAAGGAUUAGUCCACUUUCAAAUAAAAAUUUCCUGAUAAUUUACUCACCUCCAUGUCA